CAUUCGUUCCAUAUCACUCAUUUAAAUAUGCUUUUCUUUUUCUUUUUUUUCUCUCCCCUUCAAUUUUUUGUUUUUAUUUGAUUUUAUUGUCUUCUCUCUUUUGCUUCUCUCUCAUUUUCUCCAUGAGUCCUCGACUGGGUGAAGUUGCAACAAGGAACCUGUGGCUUGAUAGAAUCCUUCGCGAUGGAAAUGCUCCAUUUGCUAAUAUGGUGACCGAUCAUAGUUCAGUGGAGAUUUUAAGUGGGUCUGAUUCUCAAGGUUAGGAAGAUAUAAGAGGUUUUGCCCUCAAUCAGCUUUUCAAUUAUAAAAUUAAGUAUUUACUUACUUAUUUUAACCCUUAAAAUAAGAGACGUGAGGUACACUUGCUAUUUUAACCCUUAAAUAUGAAUCCAUUCCAGGCAUUUUUGCUGUUUAGUCAAAUAUGUCAGUGGUAUAUCCUUAUGAUAUUUUGAAUUUAUUUUCUACUGGAAAUUAUUAGCAGAACUUUAAAAUGAAACAAUAUAGAAAUGUACAAAAACGACAUGACAACCACUAGAAGAAAUAACUUCAGAAAAUUACAAAAGUAAUUGUAAUUUUUUAGUCGAUAGUCAACUAGAAAUAUUCUCAAUUUAAGAAUAACCGUCGUGUUCCCAAAUUCAACUUGAUUUAGGGUCCUCAACAUAUUUUUUGUAUUUAUAAUAAAACACACUAUAAUCAAUGAAUUACUCAGGUAAAUCACGGCAAAAAGAACUUCAAAGUACGGCUACAAAAAAUGAUACCAGCGGCCAUGGACGAACAAGAGAUGAAUAGCUUCAAGAAAAAUGCUUUUCCCAGACUCUGAGUGGCUUCUAUCUG
rnacentral:lncRNA from 1 species